rfam:Solanum tuberosum cultivar DM 1-3 516 R44 scf00096_54, whole genome shotgun sequence.
AAAGAGGAUUUUCUCAAAUCCAAUUUACUCUAACUAUGGGAAUAAUU